rnacentral:rRNA from 1 species
UGGGGGAUAUUGCACAAUGGGCGAAAGCCUGAUGCAGCGACGCCGCGUGGGGGAUGAAGGCCUUCGGGUUGUAAACUUCUUUUGCUCUGAACGAGGCAUGCUAAUGGGUGUGUUGAGUGUAGGGGUUGAUUAGCGCCGGCUAACUACGUGCCAGCAGCCGCGGUAAUACGUAGGGCGCGAGCGUUGUCCGGAAUUAUUGGGCGUAAAAGGCUUGUAGGUGGCUGGUUGCGUCUGUCGUGAAAGCUCAUGGCUUAACUGUUGGUUUGCGGUGGGUCCGGGCUGGCUUGAGUGCAGUAGGGGAGGCUGGAAUUCCUGGUGUAGCGGUGGAAUGCGCAGAUAUCAGGAGGAAUACCGGUGGCUAAGGCGGGUCUCUGGGCUGUUACUGACACUGAGGAGCAAAAGCAUGGGGAGCGAACAGG